GGUUCUGUCCGGGUCCCCUCAGCGAGCAGCCUCAGGCCUUUGGCAGUGGUGAGGCUGCGGAGGUGGGGAAACGGAGUCUCCCUUGGGCGCUAGCACACUUGACCUCUCCUUUUUCAGAGGCGGCAUGGUGACGCCCGCUUUUAGCAUCUGCAGAGAGAGAAGCGGACCUGCAGGUGGAAGCUUAAAAGUAAUGAAUGGAGCCCCGAAAUGAGUUAAAGGUGUUGGCUGUGGGCUUUGAAAAAAGUGCCAUGAAAACUGUCGUCUUAAGAUGUUGGGUGUAAGGAUCCCCGUGAUGAAAUUUCUAUAAACGGGACAGUCAUAGCCUUGGUUUCUGAGCUGAAAUGGACCCUCCAGAAGAGGACACUAAGCAGCAAUGUCUGCAGUGUGAGACAGAACUGAGCUGCUUUGCCUGAAGCAGGUGAAACGACUUCUCUCCUGUCGUUUGUGAAUUCCCAGUUGUGCCAGCGGAUCAGCACAGCCUCUGUUGCUAAUUGCUAAUGCGUAUAGUGUUCCCCCCAAAGGAGAAUCAUUUCAGAGCUCUGCAGACUUCAUCUUCAAAAGUAGCCAAAUCGCAUGACAAUGCGAUUAUCCUAGAAAGUCUCAGGCAGUUAGUGAAAUCGGGAUGUAACUAAGAACAUUCAGAACGCCAUAGCUCAGGUGAUCUGGGUAUAUUACCUGUGUAUUGGCGGCAGGACUGCAGUGAUGGUAAAUGGGAGGUAAUUCACAUGCCUAUGCUCUUCUGUGGGAAACAGGUGCUCAGCCUAGAAAAACAUUUCUCAGAGUGGAAUUCUUAAGUCAGUGUGUCUUGGGCUUAAAUUUUGAAGCACAAAUAAAAAUAUUUUGAAAUGA